rnacentral:rRNA from 1 species
AUACGGGGGGGGCAAGCGUUGUUCGGAAUUACUGGGCGUAAAGGGCGUGUAGGCGGCCCUGCAAGUCUUUCGUGAAAUCCCACAGCUCAACUGUGGAACUGCGAGGGAAACUGCAGGACUUGAGUCCGGGAGAGGAGAGUGGAAUUCCCAGUGUAGCGGUGAAAUGCGUAGAUAUUGGGAGGAACACCGGUGGCGAAGGCGGCUCUCUGGACCGGAACUGACGCUGAGGCGCGAAAGCUAGGGGAGCAAACGGGAUUAGAAACCCCGGUAGUCC